rnacentral:rRNA from 1 species
GGGGGGACCAUCCUCCAAGGCUAAAUACUCCUGACUGACCGAUAGUGAACCAGUACCGUGAGGGAAAGGCGAAAAGAACCCCUGUGAGGGGAGUGAAAUAGAACCUGAAACCGUGUACGUACAAGCAGUAGGAGCCCACUUGUUGGGUGACUGCGUACCUUUUGUAUAAUGGGUCAGCGACUUAAUUUUAGUAGCAAGGUUAACCGUUUAGGGGAGCCGUAGGGAAACCGAGUCUUAACUGGGCGUCAUAGUUGCUAGGAUUAGACCCGAAACCGAGUGAUCUAGCCAUGGGCAGGUUGAAGGUGAGGUAACACUUACUGGAGGACCGAACCGACUAAUGUUGAAAAAUUAGCGGAUGACUUGUGGCUAGGGGUGAAAGGCCAAUCAAACUCGGAGAUAGCUGGUUCUCCCCGAAAGCUAUUUAGGUAGCGCCUCGGACGAAUACUACUGGGGGUAGAGCACUGUUAAGGCUAGGGGGUCAUCCCGACUUACCAACCCUUUGCAAACUCCGAAUACCAGUAAGUACUAUCCGGGAGACACACGGCGGGUGCUAACGUCCGUCGUGAAGAGGGAAACAACCCAGACCGCCAGCUAAGGUCCCAAAGUUAUAGCUAAGUGGGAAACGAUGUGGGAAGGCUCAGACAGCCAGGAUGUUGGCUUAGAAGCAGCCAUCAUUUAAAGAAAGCGUAAUAGCUCACUGGUCGAGUCGGCCUGCGCGGAAGAUUUAACGGGGCUAAGCUAUACACCGAAGCUGCGGCAAUGUGAAUUUAUUCACAUUGGGUAGGGGAGCGUUCUGUAAGCCGUUGAAGGUGAGUUGUAAAGCUUGCUGGAGGUAUCAGAAGUGCGAAUGCUGACAUGAGUAACGAUAAAGGGAGUGAA